UACGUAGGGUGCGAGCGUUAAUCGGAAUUACUGGGCGUAAAGCGUGCGCAGGCGGUGAUGUAAGACCGAUGUGAAAUCCCCGGGCUUAACUCGGAAAGGUCAACUGAUACUGUGCGACUAGAGUGCAGAAGGGGCAACUGGAAUUCUCGGUGUAGCGGUGAAAUGCGUAGAUAUCGGGAGGAACACCAGUGGCGAAGGCGACUACCUGGCCUGUUCUUGACGCUGAGGCGCGAAAGCUAGGGGAGCAAACGGG
rnacentral:rRNA from 1 species